UUAGCAUAUCAAUAAGCGGAGGAAAAGAAACCACAGGGAUUGCCCUAGUAACGGCGAGUGAAGCGGCAACAGCUCAAAUUUGAAAUCUGGCUUCGGCCCGAGUUGUAAUUUGUAGAGGAUGCUUUUGGUGAGGUGCCUUCUGAGUUCCCUGGAACGGGACGCCAGAGAGGGUGAGAGCCCCGUAUAGUCGGCCACCGAUCCUCUGUAAAGCUCCUUCGACGAGUCGAGUAGUUUGGGAAUGCUGCUCAAAAUGGGAGGUAUAUCUCUUCUAAAGCUAAAUAUUGGCCAGAGACCGAUAGCGCACAAGUAGAGUGAUCGAAAGAUGAAAAGCACUUUGAAAAGAGGGUUAAAUAGCACGUGAAAUUGUUGAAAGGGAAGCGCUUGUGACCAGACUUGUGCCGGGCUGAUCAUCCAGUGUUCUCACUGGUGCACUCGACCCGGCUCAGGCCAGCGUCGGUUCUCGUAGGGGGAUAAAAGCUUCGGGAACGUGGCACCUUCGGGUGUGUUAUAGCCCGUUGCUUAAUACCCUUGUGGGGACCGAGGUUCGCGCUCUGCAAGGACGCUGGCAUAAUGGUCAUCAGCGACCCGUCUUGAAACACGGACCAAGGAGUCGAGGUUUUGCGCGAGUGUUUGGGUGUAAAACCCGCACGCGUAAUGAAAGUGAACGUAGGUGAGAGCUUCGGCGCAUCAUCGACCGAUCCUGAUGUAUUCGGAUGGAUUUGAGUAAGAGCGUAUAGCCUCGGACCCGAAAGAUGGUGAACUAUGCCUGAAUAGGGUGAAGCCAGAGGAAACUCUGGUGGAGGCUCGCAGCGGUUCUGACGUGCAAAUCGAUCGUCAAAUUUGGGCAUGGGGGCGAAAGACUAAUCGAACCAUCUAGUAGCUGGUUACCGCCGA
rnacentral:rRNA from 1 species